rnacentral:rRNA from 1 species
CGGUGAAUACGUUCCUGGACCUUGCACACACCGCCCGUCAAGCCAUGGAAGCCGGGUGUACCUAAAGUCGGUAACCGUAAGGAGCCGCCUAGGGUAAAACUGGUGACUGGGGCU